rnacentral:rRNA from 1 species
UUUUAUGAGAGUUUGAUCCUGGCUCAGGACGAACGCUGGCGGUGUGCCUAAUACAUGCAAGUCGAACGCUUCUUUUUCCACCGGAGCUUGCUCCACCGGAAAAAGAGGAGUGGCGAACGGGUGAGUAACACGUGGGUAACCUGCCCAUCAGAAGGGGAUAACACUUGGAAACAGGUGCUAAUACCGUAUAACAAUCGAAACCGCAUGGUUUUGAUUUGAAAGGCGCUUUCGGGUGUCGCUGAUGGAUGGACCCGCGGUGCAUUAGCUAGUUGGUGAGGUAACGGCUCACCAAGGCGACGAUGCAUAGCCGACCUGAGAGGGUGAUCGGCCACAUUGGGACUGAGACACGGCCCAAACUCCUACGGGAGGCAGCAGUAGGGAAUCUUCGGCAAUGGACGAAAGUCUGACCGAGCAACGCCGCGUGAGUGAAGAAGGUUUUCGGAUCGUAAAACUCUGUUGUUAGAGAAGAACAAGGAUGAGAGUAACUGUUCAUCCCUUGACGGUAUCUAACCAGAAAGCCACGGCUAACUACGUGCCAGCAGCCGCGGUAAUACGUAGGUGGCAAGCGUUGUCCGGAUUUAUUGGGCGUAAAGCGAGCGCAGGCGGUUUCUUAAGUCUGAUGUGAAAGCCCCCGGCUCAACCGGGGAGGGUCAUUGGAAACUGGGAGACUUGAGUGCAGAAGAGGAGAGUGGAAUUCCAUGUGUAGCGGUGAAAUGCGUAGAUAUAUGGAGGAACACCAGUGGCGAAGGCGGCUCUCUGGUCUGUAACUGACGCUGAGGCUCGAAAGCGUGGGGAGCAAACAGGAUUAGAUACCCUGGUAGUCCACGCCGUAAACGAUGAGUGCUAAGUGUUGGAGGGUUUCCGCCCUUCAGUGCUGCAGCUAACGCAUUAAGCACUCCGCCUGGGGAGUACGACCGCAAGGUUGAAACUCAAAGGAAUUGACGGGGGCCCGCACAAGCGGUGGAGCAUGUGGUUUAAUUCGAAGCAACGCGAAGAACCUUACCAGGUCUUGACAUCCUUUGACCACUCUAGAGAUAGAGCUUCCCCUUCGGGGGCAAAGUGACAGGUGGUGCAUGGUUGUCGUCAGCUCGUGUCGUGAGAUGUUGGGUUAAGUCCCGCAACGAGCGCAACCCUUAUUGUUAGUUGCCAUCAUUUAGUUGGGCACUCUAGCAAGACUGCCGGUGACAAACCGGAGGAAGGUGGGGAUGACGUCAAAUCAUCAUGCCCCUUAUGACCUGGGCUACACACGUGCUACAAUGGGAAGUACAACGAGUCGCAAAGUCGCGAGGCUAAGCUAAUCUCUUAAAGCUUCUCUCAGUUCGGAUUGUAGGCUGCAACUCGCCUACAUGAAGCCGGAAUCGCUAGUAAUCGCGGAUCAGCACGCCGCGGUGAAUACGUUCCCGGGCCUUGUACACACCGCCCGUCACACCACGAGAGUUUGUAACACCCGAAGUCGGUGAGGUAACCUUUUGGAGCCAGCCGCCUAAGGUGGGAUAGAUGAUUGGGGUGAAGUCGUAACAAGGUAGCCGUAUCGGAAGGUGCGGCUGGAUCACCUCCUUUCUAAGGAA